rnacentral:rRNA from 1 species
AUGGGCCUCUCGGUGAUCGCGCCGCCGGCGGGCGACUCGGCGUCCCCGGCCCACCGCCGCGCGCGCCGCGCCUUCCUCGUCUCAAACUACAUGAUCCUCGGCGCGGCGUCCGGGUGCGGCUUCCUCACGCUCUCGCUCCGCCUCGUGCCCUCCGUCGACGGCUUCCUCCUCAUCCUGCUCCACGCGCUCACCGUGGCGGCCGCCGUGGCCGGGUGCGCCGUCAUCGCGGCGCCCGACCCGCCGCGCGGCCGCGUGUACACCGCCCACAUGUCCGCCACCGUCGUCGUGUCCAUCCUGCAGGGCGCCGCCGCCGUGCUCGCCUUCUCCCGCACCGCCGAGUUCCUCGCCGACGGGCUCCGGUCCUACGUCCGCGAGGAGGACGGCGCCGUCAUCCUGCGCAUGAUCGGCGGGCUCGGCAUCGCCAUCUUCUGCCUCGAGUGGGUCGCCCUCGCGCUCGCAUUCGUCCUCAGGUACUACGCCUACGUCGACAGGGAGUGCGGCGGCAACCCCAUGCGCCGCAGCGCCAAGGUCGGCGGCGAGGAUGGCGCCGGCAACUGGCCGUGGCCAUUCCAGGUCUGA